rnacentral:rRNA from 1 species
GAUGAACGCUGGCGGCGUGCCUAAUACAUGCAAGUCGAGCGAACCACUUCGGUGGUGAGCGGCGAACGGGUGAGUAACACGUAGGUGAUCUGCCCAUCAGACGGGGACAACGAUUGGAAACGAUCGCUAAUACCGGAUAGGACGAAAGUUUAAAGGUGCUUCUGGCACCGCUGAUGGAUGAGCCUGCGGCGCAUUAGCUAGUUGGUAGGGUAAAGGCCUACCAAGGCGACGAUGCGUAGCCGACCUGAGAGGGUGAACGGCCACACUGGGACUGAGACACGGCCCAGACUCCUACGGGAGGCAGCAGUAGGGAAUCUUCGGCAAUGGGCGAAAGCCUGACCGAGCAACGCCGCGUGAAUGAUGAAGGCCUCGGUUGUAAA